CCCCUCUCAGGAUCACGCCUGGAGAGUUUCCACUACUCUACCAGUCUCAGCUACGGGAGGGAGAGUCGGGCAGAGGCCUACCCAUUCCAUUCCUAGCUCGGGCACUGGCUAGCGAGUGGAAAGCAAUCUGCUACAAGU